GUGCCAGCCGCCGCGGUAAUACGUAGGGUGCGAGCGUUAAUCGGAAUUACUGGGCGUAAAGCGUGCGCAGGCGGUUUUGUAAGUCAGAUGUGAAAUCCCCGAGCUCAACUUGGGAACUGCGUUUGAAACUACAAGACUAGAAUAUGUCAGAGGGGGGUAGAAUUCCACGUGUAGCAGUGAAAUGCGUAGAGAUGUGGAGGAAUACCAAUGGCGAAGGCAGCCCCCUGGGAUAAUAUUGACGCUCAUGCACGAAAGCGUGGGGAGCAAACAGGAUUAGAUACCCUGGUAGUCCACGCCCUAAACGAUGUCUACUAGUUGUUGGUGGAGUAAAAUCCAUGAGUAACGCAGCUAACGCGUGAAGUAGACCGCCUGGGGGGUACGAUCGCAAGAUUAAAACUCAAAUGAAUUGACGGGGGCCCGCACAAGCGGUGGAUUAUGUGGAUUAAUUCGAUGCAACGCGAAAAACCUUACCUGGCCUUGACAUGUACCGAAUUUACCAGAGAUGGUUUAGUGCUCGAAAGAGAACGGUAACACAGGUGCUGCAUGGCUGUCGUCAGCUCGUGUCGUGAGAUGUUGGGUUAAGUCCCGCAACGAGCGCAACCCUUGCCAAUAAUUGCCAUCAUUUAGUUGGGCACUUUAUUGGGACUGCCGGUGACAAACCGGAGGAAGGUGGGGAUGACGUCAAGUCCUCAUGGCCCUUAUGGCCAGGGCUUCACACGUAAUACAAUGGUCGGUACAGAGGGUCGCCAACCCGCGAGGGGGAGCUAAUCCCAGAAAGCCGAUCGUAGUCCGGAUUGCAGGCUGCAACUCGCCUGCAUGAAGUCGGAAUCGCUAGUAAUCGUGGAUCAGAAUGUCACGGUGAAUACGUUCCCGGGUCUUGUACACACCGCCCGUCACACCAUGGGAGCGGGUUCUGCCAGAAGUAGUUAGCCUAACCGCAAGGAGGGCGAUUACCACGGCAGGGUUCGUGACUGGGGUGAAGUCGUAACAAGGUAACC
rnacentral:rRNA from 1 species